UGGAUGGACAUGGGUGGUGCCUGGUGGGCCUGCAGCUCUCAACCCUGGUCUCCAAAAGCCAUUCCUAGUCCUAAAUGUGCCACCCUCUGCUUCCUCGCUGGAAGUUCUUCUUCCUCAGUUCCCAGGUGCAGAAAGGGCAGGUAAGACAGGAAGCUGCCGGCUCUGGACCUGGACUGUGGGGUUUCUCCUGAUGUCUAAUGUCAAGUUCCCUCCUUCCAAAGGCCUUUGCCCAGCUUGGACCCAACUCCACAUCCCGUCCCUUGGCUCCUUCCCCCGACCCCUGACCCCAGCUAGGAAGCAUCCCUUCAUCACCUGCCCUCCAGGUGCCAUCCUCCCAAAGGUCAGCCUUGUACCUUGUCCGCUCUGAGGAGACUGACUGUCCAGUUUGCCUGGCACCGCCUGUGUUAGAACCGAGAGCCCUCAUCACCAGCACCCCCUCCCUCCCAGGGGAGCUGGGACGGUCACCUGAACCCCACCUCUGCCACUCCUAUGGGCUCAUAGGAGCAGGGAAGCCCAGCUGGGCUGAGACGCCUACUGGGAGGGGGUGUACUAUGUGCUAGCCCCUCCAACGAAUGCUUUUGCUUUCACUUCCUAUCGGAUUUAAACCCACCCUAGUUCAGGCUUCCCUGGUGGCUCAGAGGGUAAAGCGUCUGCCUACAAUGAGGGAGACCUGAGUUCGAUCCCUGGGUCGGGAAGAUCCCCUGGAGAAGGCAAGAGUACUGGAGUAGGGUGCCAUUGCCUUCUCCGAUGGUUCAGCUAGGCCACUGCAAACAUCUCUCCCUCCAUCCAGCCUAUUCCCUGGCCCCCUCUCACCCACCAGCACCCCUGAAAUGGACCCAUGCACCCCGUGCUGCCAGGAGCCAUGGACGUGAAGCUGUCCCCACAGGGCCUCUGCUCUGAGCCCUCCAGGCCAGACCCACAGGCCACUGGUCCCAGAACAUGGUUCCGGAUUCUAGAAUAGGUUUCUCGUGGGUUGGUGGCAAGUCAAGGAGGCCUUUCCAGAUGGUGUGGGACCAGAGGUACCCAAGGG
ensembl:lncRNA